rnacentral:rRNA from 1 species
GACCGGAGUGAACGCACCACUGGUGUUCGGGUUGUCAUGCCAAUGGCAUUGCCCGGUAGCUAAGUGCGGAAAAGAUAAGCGCUGAAAGCAUCUAAGCGCGAAACUUGCCUCAAGAUGAGUCUUCCCUGGGCCUUCAAGGCCCCUGAAGGAACGUUUAAGACUAAGACGUUGAUAGGCUGGGUGUGUAAGUGCAGCGAUGCAUUGAGCUAACCAGUACUAAUGAUCCGUGAGGCUUAACCUU